rnacentral:rRNA from 1 species
AACGAACGCUGGCGGCAGGCCUAACACAUGCAAGUCGAGCGAGACCUUCGGGUCUAGCGGCGGACGGGUGAGUAACGCGUGGGAAUAUGCCCUUCUCUACGGAAUAGCCUCGGGAAACUGGGAGUAAUACCGUAUACGCCCUUUGGGGGAAAGAUUUAUCGGAGAAGGAUUAGCCCGCGUUGGAUUAGGUAGUUGGUGGGGUAAUGGCCUACCAAGCCGACGAUCCAUAGCUGGUUUGAGAGGAUGAUCAGCCACACUGGGACUGAGACACGGCCCAGACUCCUACGGGAGGCAGCAGGGGGGAAUCUUAGACAAUGGGCGCAAGCCUGAUCUAGCCAUGCCGCGUGAUUGAUGAAGGCCUUAGGGUUGUAAAGAUCUUUCAGCUGGGAAGAUAAUGACGGUACCAGCAGAAGAAGCCCCGGCUAACUCCGUGCCAGCCGCCGCAGUAA